GGAUGUGAUGGCGAUCUGGCUGCGACAUCUGUCACCCCAUUAAUCGCUAGGGUUGAUUCAGCUGAUCUGACUGGCUAGGCGGGUGUCCCCUUCCUCUCUCACCGCUUCAUGUCUGUCCCUCCCGAAGCUGAGUGCCCAAUCUUCGAUCCAGGGUAUACCAGUAGCUGCCCCCCUGCUAGAACCAAACAAACACCGAGGUUAUUUGGGAAUUAGAGUUCCUUAAGAGGUUAAAAACUACCAACUGUAGUUCUGAAAACCAAUGAUGGUU